rnacentral:rRNA from 1 species
GAUGAACGCUAGCUACAGGCUUAACACAUGCGAGUCGAGGGGCAGCAUGAUUGAAGCUUGCUUCAAUCGAUGGCGACCGGCGCACGGGUGAGUAACACGUAUCCAACCUGCCGAUAACUCGGGGAUAGCCUUUCGAAAGAAAGAUUAAUACCCGAUAGUAUAGUAUUUCCGCAUGGUUUCACUAUUAAAGAACUUCGGUUAUCGAUGGGGAUGCGUUCCAUUAGAUAGUUGGCGGGGUAACGGCCCACCAAGUCAACGAUGGAUAGGGGUUCUGAGAGGAAGGUCCCCCACAUUGGAACUGAGACACGGUCCAAACUCCUACGGGAGGCAGCAGUGAGGAAUAUUGGUCAAUGGACGAGAGUCUGAACCAGCCAAGUAGCGUGAAGGAUGACUGCCCUAUGGGUUGUAAACUUCUUUUAUACGGGAAUAAAGUGGAGUAUGCAUACUCCUUUGUAUGUACCGUAUGAAUAAGGAUCGGCUAACUCCGUG